rnacentral:rRNA from 1 species
CCUACGGGAGGCAGCAGUGAGGAAUAUUGGUCAAUGGGCGCAAGCCUGAACCAGCCAAGUCGCGUGCAGGAUGACGGCCCUACGGGUUGUAAACUGCUUUUAUACGGGAAUAACGCGCCUUACGUGUAGGGCUUUGCAAGUACCGUAUGAAUAAGGAUCGGCUAAUUCCGUGCCAGCAGCCGCGGUAAUACGGAAGGUCCGGGCGUUAUCCGGAUUUAUUGGGUUUAAAGGGUGCGUAGGCGGCAUGUCAAGCGUGCGGUGAAAUGUCCGGGCUCAACCCGGGCCCUGCCGCGCGAACUGGCGUGCUUGAGACCGGUGACAGCAGGCGGAAUGUGUGGUGUAGCGGUGAAAUGCUUAGAUAUGACGAAGAACCCCGAUUGCGAAGGCAGCUUGCCGCAGCAGAACUGACGCUGAUGCACGAAAGCGCGGGUAGCGAACAGGAUUAGAUACCCUAGUAGUC